AGAGUAUAUUCUUGUAUGGAUUAUAAUAUUUUCGGGGAAACCCAAUUUAAUAGGCCAUUAAUUUUUCCAGCCAAAAAUAGAACUCUAGCGUCAACACGUUCCAAUCAAAUGAAAGAUGCAGCCUAGAUUACUGUCAUUCGGUACUCGACGCGAUGUCAAGGGUUUCCUUUGUAUUAUCUGUUACUGCCAUUCUAUCCUAGAUGACCUUUUCCUUCUCACUCAUAUCUGUCCUUGUGUGUGUUUGGUGAGAGUGUGUGUUUCAGUACCCUGCCCCACUUCUUUCUCACCUUCAGCUGACUUUGUCUCAGUGGGGAGUGGCUGUGCCAGGGCAAGCGCAAAGCUGCCCCCCUGUGGCAUGUUACUGACAGAACAGUGGAGGUUACAGUGUUUACGUUGGAGCGUAUGCAUGACUGCUAACGAGACAGCGGGGAGCAGAGGGAGCAUACGAGGGUAAAGGCUGCCUUGGACGUGACCUCAGCAUCCUCACCCCGCCCACAACCCCCUCCCCAGAACAAGAUGGGACCCCCAAACCAGGACCCCAGCACCAGGAUAGUACUACAGGAACACAGCCAAUGAGACACUGUCAUCUCAACCAGACUCUGUACUGCUAUAGCCAUGGCGAUCCUUCUGGAUCCAAAACACUUCUUUUUCCAGAAUUCCGGACUAUUCUCUAUCUAAUGGUACUGUGUGGGACAGUAUGAACCUGUAUAGAGUUAGGUUGAACUCCAAUAAGCAGUAAAUGGAAUUGUCUGCGUUGUGUACAUGACAGAAGCAUGACUCUAUAGAACAACACCUAUUUUGGACUGUUAGCCACAUGCCUUUGUUAGCUCUUGUGCUCUUGUAUUGCGAACAUGUGAAAUAUACACUAUCGCGUAAGCUGACUGUUUUAUGCUACAUGCUCGGGUGCACACUCAUAACGAAGGGGGUGCUAGCCACAGAUCGUUCGCAAGAGUGAUGAAGAACAACCCUAAAACCCUGCCUUAUAUAAACUUAGAACAAAUGGUUCUUCUGAUGGUCAAUCCAUCAAUGUAGCAAACUCUGUGAUUGGUCAGCACUGCUCAGUGACAGUUUGACUCCAUACCAAGUGUCCCACAGUUCUUUGAUGUGGCAUCUCUCCCCAAACCAGUAGAUACUAAAGCCACAGGAGUUCACCAGUCAAAUGGUCAACUGUCCUUUCUGUGGACAUCUUCAAACAAGUAUUUAAUUAAAACCACCCAUGCAACAGGAAGGGUCAGAGCAGCUUGAUCAGUUCAUCUAUCUUAAACUACUCCCUCAGAUCACAAUACAAUUGAAUCCACAUUGUCUCCAGACCAGCUGUCUCAUCCUCCCCAGGUGUCAUAAACUGCAAAUGGCCAUCUCUACCAAAUGGAGUUGAUUCAACAUUCAUUGUAUCAAGCUUCUUAACCUUUUCAUGUUCCUGUUAAAUUUGCCUGAAAACGCCUAAACAGCAUACCCAAAGUAAAUUGGAAGCUGUUCUUGAACCAUUUGGAGUACAUGCAUGUAAAUGAUCUCUUUUGAAAGCUGAC